rnacentral:SRP_RNA from 1 species
ACCAGGUGUGGUGGUGCACACUUGUAGUCCCAGAUACUCAGGAGGUUGAGGCAGGAGGAUCACUCGAGCACAGGAGGUCAAGGCUGCAGUGAGCUAUGAUUGCACCACUGCACUCCAGCCUGAGCAACAGAGCAAGACCCUGUCCCUU